rnacentral:rRNA from 1 species
CUUUACUAUAGUUUGACAUUGAAUCGAAGCCUACUCUGUGUAGGAUAGGUGGGAGACUUUGAAGUUCCGACGCUAGUCGGGAUGGAGUCGUCCUUGAAAUACCGCCCUGAUUAUGUUUUGAUUCUAACUUGUCCCGUUAUCCGGGAUGAGAACAGUGUUUGAUGGGUAGUUUAACUGGGGCGGUUGCCUCCUAAAAUGUAACGGAGGCGCGCAAUGGUCCGCUAGACCCGGAUGGAAAUCGGGUUGAUAGUGUAUUCGCAUAAGCGGGCUUGACUGUAAGGGCUACAACCCGAGCAGGUGCGAAAGCAGGUGAAAGUGAUCCGGCACCUUGUACUGAAUUUUAUUCGGUACGACCACGUGGGUGGGGUG